UACAGAGGUCUCAAGCGUUGUUCGGAUUCAUUGGGCGUAAAGGGUGCGUAGGUGUCGCCGUAAGUCAGGUGUGAAAUCUCGGGGCUCAACCCCGAAACUGCACUUGAUACUGCGGUGCUCGAGUACUGGAGAGGAGAUUGGAAUUUACGGUGUAGCAGUGAAAUGCGUAGAUAUCGUAAGGAAGACCAGUGGCGAAGGCGAAUCUCUGGACAGUUACUGACACUGAGGUACGAAGGCCAGGGGAGCAAACGGG
rnacentral:rRNA from 1 species